rnacentral:rRNA from 1 species
CCUACGGGCGGCAGCAGUGAGGAAUAUUGGUCAAUGGGCGAGAGCCUGAACCAGCCAAGUCGCGUGAAGGAUGACGGCCCUACGGGUUGUAAACUUCUUUUGUCAGGGAGCAAUUGAGUCCACGUGUGGGCUUAGCGAGAGUACCUGAAGAAAAAGCAUCGGCUAACUCCGUGCCGGCAGCCGCGGUAAUACGGAGGAUGCGAGGGUUGUCAGGAUUUAUUGGGUUUAAAGGGUGCGUAGGCGGAAUAUCAAGUCAGCGGUAAAAAGUCGGGGCUCAACCCCGUCGUGCCGUUGAAACUGAUGUUCUGGAGUGGGCGAGAAGUAUGCGGAAUGCGUGGUGUAGCGGUGAAAUGCAUAGAUAUCACGCAGAACUCCGAUUGCGAAGGCAGCAUACCGGCGCCCAACUGACGCUGAAGCACGAAAGCGUGGGUAUCGAACAGGAUUAGAUACCCUGGUAGUC